UUUUGCAGUGAGUCUCUUUAUGUUUUCAACACCCUCUCUUUUGAUUAAAAAAAAAAAGUAUUCCAAGUUGACUGUUCACAGUAUUUUUUUUUCCUUGAUUUUAUUAUGAACCCUCACAUUUCCCAUCACCUCCAAGAUCUCUCUGUACAUCUCAGGUUAGCUUUAAAUUUGCAAUACUCUUCCUGUCUCCCCAGAGCUAGGAUUACAGGUAUGAGUCACCACCCUCAGCCUAGCCAUGAAUUUCUUAGUGAGGCUCCAGCAGUACAACAGCUAAGUAUUUCCAUAGAACACAUCUUGCUUGUUUGUGCUACAUUCAGAUAUGGGACUCGAACCCAGAACCUCAUGUAUGGUAGACAAGUGUUCUACCACUUCUAUAUACGUGCCCAGCCCAUAGAAAAUAGUUAAACUUAGCUAAUAUAGUCUUACUGCCAUUUUUCUCAUCUAGAAAUACCUUGCCAUCGUGACCUUGAGUGUUUCCUUAAACUGAGAAUUAUUUAGGAGAGAAACUUAAAAUAUAUUGGUGGUCUUUUCCUAGUUCCUUCUGACUUCACUACACUCUAAAUAGAUUUGCUUCCUUCAUCCUAUCAAUGAAUUUAAUUUGCAGAAUUUCUUCACUUGCUGUGAUCAUUCUCUGACGAAUCUCCAUAAAACUUCUAUGAGUGCCAGGGAAUAUGCGUGUCUGUAUGUGGGAGACAGACACAGUCAGUCUCUUUAGAUGAUGCUUUAUCAGCGAGGUCCUCCAAGCCAGGGGAACUUUAAGCAUGUGCGCCAGCUUCUCACAGGUCAGUGGUGAAAGUACAGAAAUGGAUGUAACAGUUUAUGAUGCUCAGCGCAAUCCGAGGAGGCAGUUUUAUACUGGCUGAAUCCAAAACAAUUUGGCUACAUAUUUUAUAUCAUUUUGUUCUAUCCUUUGCCCUGAAAAGAAAUGAGCGGAUUUAUCCCAGAGGUUUUGUGCUUUAGAAGAACUCUUUAAAUGUUUUAUUAUUGGUGUUCCGGAAAUGAAUCAUGCCAAAAAUCUUUAUAUUUAGCCUUUGUAAUGACCAGACUAAGAAAGCCAUUUCCGUUCAGCGUAACCUGAGACCUUUCCAGUAGUUGUAAGCACAGUUGGCUUCCAUUAGAACUGUUGGGAUUUCUUGGUGUCGGAGGGAGUGACUGUAACAUUCGCACUAUUAUUUAUCUCCAGAAUGAGUUAUUUGACAGACCUUGGAGUCCAAUCCAUCUGAUUGGCUGAGUUGUCUUCUAUGGCAGGCGUGCAGCAUGUCUUUUGCACCUGUGCUUAGUGGUUCUAAAACCACAUCUUGUGUGGAUCUGUCCCACAGUCUUUGAUGGCUCACACACUGUAGACUGCUUCGCAAAAUACUCGUUGCCCAUUUUCUCUUUAAUUCUCCUCCUCUCCCCCCAGCCCUUUGGCCUAAAGUCUGAAUUCAUAAAAUGGGUCAUUUGUACACAGCAUGUCCAACUUUUGUUUCCUCUAACACACAAGUUUUGUUUCUGUGGCCCUAUACAGAAACAGAAUCCCAUACUGGAAGCGCAGUGUCGUAUGCAAAUGUGAUUACAGCGGCCUUAACAAGAUGAAGAGAUAAGGCUGUGCUUCAUGGCAUGCUGCUGCAGUCCCAGCAAUAGAAGACUGAGAUAGAAAGGCUGUGAGCCUAGGACAGCCUGGUCUACAAAAUGAGACAUGUCCC
rnacentral:lncRNA from 1 species